UGGUUUAGUUGUUAAGCUGUUAAAACUAAGGGGAGAUUAUUCAAACAUUAUAAAUAUUAACUUAUAUGACUGUGUAUUUUUCUUUUUACUUUUUCAAGUAAAUAAAAGUUACUUGUUGAAGUAGUACCCCUGACUGUACAAUGCUGUAUGUCAUGUAUGUGGAUAAGGAACACUCUAGAAAUUUUUGACCUGAAAGAUCUUUAGGUUUUGU
rnacentral:lncRNA from 1 species